rnacentral:rRNA from 1 species
AACCCAGCGAAAGUUGGACUAAUACCUUAUGUAUUCGUUUGAUCUCAUGAGAUUACGAAUAAAGAUUUAUCGGUUAUGGAUGGGGAUGCGUCUGAUUAGCUUGUUGGCGGGGUAACGGCCCACCAAGGCAACGAUCAGUAGGGGUUCUGAGAGGAAGGUCCCCCACAUUGGAACUGAGACACGGUCCAA